GAAGAACGCAGCGAAAUGCGAUAAGUAAUGUGAAUUGCAGAAUUCAGUGAAUCAUCGAAUCUUUGAACGCACAUUGCGCCCGCCAGUAUUCUGGCGGGCAUGCCUGUUCGAGCGUCAUUUCAACCAUCAAGCCCCCGGGCUUGUGUUGGGGACCUGCGGCUGCCGCAGGCCCUGAAAACCAGUGGCGGGCUCGCUAGUCACUCCGAGCGUAGUAGUUACAUCUCGCUCAGGGCGUGCUGCGGGUUCCGGCCGUUAAAAGCCUUUUACCCCAAGGUUGACCUCGGAUCAGGUAGGAAGACCCGCUGAACUUAAGCAUAUCAAUAAGCGGAGGA
rnacentral:misc_RNA from 1 species